UACGAAGGGGGCUAGCGUUGCUCGGAAUUACUGGGCGUAAAGCGCACGUAGGCGGACUACUAAGUCAGGGGUGAAAUCCCGGGGCUCAACCCCGGAACUGCCUUUGAUACUGGUAGUCUCGAGUCCGGAAGAGGUGAGUGGAAUUCCGAGUGUAGAGGUGAAAUUCGUAGAUAUUCGGAGGAACACCAGUGGCGAAGGCGGCUCACUGGUCCGGUACUGACGCUGAGGUGCGAAAGCGUGGGGAGCAAACAGG
rnacentral:rRNA from 1 species